UUUCUUUAUAUGGAUUACAUGUUUGAGUUAAUCUUCUGAGCAUUUCUUCUAUAUUCACAAUUGGUUUAUUCAAAGGCUUAUUAAUUAUAUUUUGUUAGAAACA